UACGAAGGGUGCAAGCGUUAAUCGGAAUUACUGGGCGUAAAGGGUGCGUAGGCGGUUCGUUAAGUCUGUUGUGAAAUCCCCGGGCUCAACCUGGGAAUGGCAAUGGAUACUGGCGAGCUAGAGUGUGAUAGAGGAUGGUGGAAUUCCCGGUGUAGCGGUGAAAUGCGUAGAGAUCGGGAGGAACAUCAGUGGCGAAGGCGGCUACCUGUACCAGCACUGACACUGAGGCACGAAAGCGUGGGGAGCAAACAGG
rnacentral:rRNA from 1 species